rnacentral:rRNA from 1 species
AACGAACGCUGGCGGCAUGCCUAACACAUGCAAGUCGAACGAGACCUUCGGGUCUUGUGGCGCACGGGUGCGUAACGCGUGGGAACCUGCCCUUAGGUUCGGAAUAACUCCCCGAAAGGGGUGCUAAUACCGGAUAAUGUCUUCGGACCAAAGAUUUAUCGCCUUUGGAUGGGCCCGCGUUGGAUUAGCUAGUUGGUAGGGUAAAAGCCUACCAAGGCGACGAUCCAUAGCUGGUCUGAGAGGCUGAUCAGCCACACUGGGACUGAGACACGGCCCAGACUCCUACGGGAGGCAGCAGUGGGGAAUAGUGGACAAUGGGCGAAAGCCUGAUCCAGCAAUGCCGCGUGAGUGAUGAAGGCCUUAGGGUUGUAAAGCUCUUUUACCCGGGAUGAUAAUGACAGUACCGGGAGAAUAAGCUCCGGCUAACUCCGUG